GUCCCUCUAGCGCAACGGAUAGCGCGUUGGACUUCUAAUCCAAAGGUCGUGGGUUUGAAUCCCACCUGGGAUG
rnacentral:tRNA from 1 species